GCCGCCGUAGCUCAAUGGUAGAGCAUCGGGCGCGCCAUUCGAAGGUCGCAGGUUCGGUCCCUGCCGGCGGCA